CCAAUAGCGUAUAUUAAAGUUGUUGCAGUUAAAAAGCUCGUAGUUGAAUUUCGGGGUUAGUAGAUUGGUCAUGCCUCUGGUAUGCACUGGUCUCACUGAUUCCUCCUUCCUGAUGAGCCGUAAUGCCAUUAAUUUGGUGUUGCGGGGAAUUUGGACUGUUACUUUGAAAAAAUUAGAGUGUUUAAAGCAAGCUAACGCUUGAAUACAUUAGCAUGGAAUAAUGAAAUAGGACGUUCGAUCCUAUUUUGUUGGUUUCUAGGAUUGACGUAAUGAUUAAUAGGGAUAGUUGGGGGCAUUAGUAUUCAAUUGUCAGAGGUGAAAUUCUUGGAUUUAUUGAAGACUAACUACUGCGAAAGCAUUUGCCAAGGAUGUUUUCAUUAAUCAAGAACGAAAGUUAGGGGAUCGAAGACGAUCAGAUACCGUCGUAGUCUUAACCAUAAACUAUGCCGACUAGGGAUCGGAUGAUGUUAAUUUUUUAAUGACUCAUUCGGCGCCUUACG
rnacentral:ncRNA from 2 species